rnacentral:rRNA from 1 species
GAUGAACGCUGGCGGCGUGCCUAAUACAUGCAAGUCGAGCGAACAGAUGAGGAGCUUGCUCCUCUGACGUUAGCGGCGGACGGGUGAGUAACACGUGGAUAACCUACCUAUAAGACUGGGAUAACUUCGGGAAACCGGAGCUAAUACCGGAUAAUAUAUUGAACCGCAUGGUUCAAUAGUGAAAGACGGUUUUGCUGUCACUUAUAGCUGGAUCCGCGCCGCAUUAGCUAGUUGGUAAGGUAACGGCUUACCAAGGCAACGAUGCGUAGCCGACCUGAGAGGGUGAUCGGCCACACUGGAACGGAGACACGGUCCAGACUCCUACGGGAGGCAGCAGUAGGGAAUCUGCCGCAAUGGGCGAAAGCUUGACGGAGCAACGCCGCGUGAGUGAUGAAGGUCUUCGGAUCGUAAAACUCUGUUAUUAGGGAAGAACAAAUGUGUAAGUAACUAUGCACGUCUUGACGGUACCUAAUCAGAAAGCCACGGCUAACUACGUG